GUCGUUGUAGUAUAAUGGUGAGUAUUACCGCCUGUCAUGCUGGCGAUCCGGGUUCGAUCCCCGGCAACGGUG
rnacentral:tRNA from 1 species